rnacentral:rRNA from 1 species
UACGUAGGGGGCGAGCGUUGUCCGGAGUUACUGGGCGUAAAGCGCACGCAGGCGGUCUGCUAAGUUUGGAGUGACAGUUGGUGGCUUAACUGCCAAAGUGCUUCGAAAACUGACAGACUUGAGGGCUUCAGAGGGACACGGAAUUCCGGGGUGGAGUGGUGAAAUGCGUAGAGAUCCGGAGGAACACCAAAGGCGAAGGCAGUGUCCUGGGGAGGUACCUGACGCCUCGAGGUGCGAAAGCCAGGGGAGCGAACGGGG